rnacentral:rRNA from 1 species
UACGAAGGGGGCUAGCGUUGCUCGGAAUCACUGGGCGUAAAGGGUGCGUAGGCGGGUCUUUAAGUCAGGGGUGAAAUCCUGGAGCUCAACUCCAGAACUGCCUUUGAUACUGAAGAUCUUGAGUUCGGGAGAGGUGAGUGGAACUGCGGGUGUAGAGGUGAAAUUGUAGAUAUUCGCAAGAACACCAGUGGCGAAGGCGGCUCACUGGCCCGAUACUGACGCUGAGGCACGAAAGCGUGGGGAGCAAACAGGG